UAGAUAAUUUAGUCAUUUCAAUUCAUCAAUGUUACCUAUAGUCAUAAUAUAUCUCUUCUCUGGAGCAGAUUUUCUGUCAGAGCUGGGUCUGGAGAAGGAUGAGGAAGAGGAGGAUUCCUGGGACUCUGAGUCUCACUCUGAAAACUCUAACACCCCACAAAAAGAGGAGCAGCGUUCACAAGCUCUCGAUCAGGAGACGUCCUCCACGGGAGCUCAAGAACGUGAGUCACCCUCCGUCCUUCUUACCUUCUCAAUGCAGACCAGUCAUUCCAAGCACCAUUCCACGCAGCAGAAACAUGACCUCGUUUUUCUACUAAACUGAAGUGUAAUAUCCUCCUUGAAGACUCAAUGCAGGAUGUGCAGUGCAGCAUCGGUUAUGUAAACGGAACUUUGAAAUGAAUGUGUGCUUUUCUUUCGUAGACUUGUUUUACAUUCCUUCUUUUUUAAGAGGGAAGGAGGGAUGUAGGAGUGUAGGCAGGACCAGAGGCAGCAAGGAAGAGGGUACGCCAGCCUUUAACCCUAACCACCGCCUUGUGACCACCAGCAGAGAGUUCACUUAGCGCACGCCGCUACAUCCUGCCUGCUGCCCAUUAACACCAUUUAGAUGGAAUCGGAGCGUACAUGUCAUCCUGCUUCAGUCUGAGCUGGGCUAAGUGCACGUCCCAGAGCUGCAUGACACCACUGGCAGUACUUGUUGGAACGUUUGUUUGGUGGUUCUGUUGUCUUUGCAGUAAGACCCUCAUCUGGGUCCUUUCUGCGUUUUCUUGCUUUUAUUGGGCCAACCCUCAUGAUGUUUUCCUUUUCAGCAUAUAACACUAGCCUAGCCAGAGAUGACCCUCCUAACUUCAUCCAAGGAAGAUUUUAGGAAAUAAAAUGAAAUAUUUGGAUUUAUUCUAAACCACUGAAAGCAUUUCUCAUGGAUCUAAUCAAUUGUUUUGCAGUAAAUUACAAAUGAUCAACAUUAUACAAGGUGCUUUAACUACAGAACCCAUAUGUUUUGAUGACAAGUUUAGACACACUGUAUCUGCAGACCUUUCUCUGAUGGUUUCUGACCAUUCACCUUUAUGAUGAGAUGUUUUAAUGAGGGUCAGGUGUCAGGAGAGAUAGGCAGAGUGCAAACCUGAUCGGUGCUCCUUCAUCCUAGCCUUCACUGACCCCGCCCUGUGUCAUUAACAUUGACUGGAUCUUGUAAAUGUGAACUCCCCAGUCCUUGUCCUCUGGGACUUUGCUGCAUCUGUACUGUUGCCACGUUGAUGGAUCUUUCUUGAUUCUUCCUGGAUUGUGGCUCUGGCUGGAUUCAUCCUCUGCCUUCCUUCUUUCUCUUUGGUCUUGGGCUGGAAGAUGCUGGAGUUAACCACCUUGCAUGUUUCCUAGGAGCUUCCUGCCCUUGAAGUCAUUGGCUUAUGUGAUCUUGUUUCCAUGCGCCAUGGUUUGAGUAAAGAGGAUCCACAUUUCCUGAUAGCAGUAUUCCUAAAGGGAGCACCUCAAGGGGUUUUCAAGGACCGGACUUUGGCUAUCUGCAGCUUAUACAAUAUAAACAAGGAAAAAUGCUCAGACACGAGCAUGAUCAUCUUCUGUAGGAAACGCUGCGUCCUGUGAAGUUUGUGCUGGUCCGAUGUGCAUGCAUGCGCCUGGUGUACAUGGUGACUAACCUUAGCUCAUUUGCAUGGGAAUGCUUCUCACAAAUGUCUCGAUAAGACUGAGUUGUUGUCCAGCGAGAAUCUUACUGCAUCAAAAUGAAAAAAACCUUUUGUUCUCUUUCAGCUGGAAACAGCAGUCAUGAGAAAAAUGUGGAGGAAGCUUUUGAUGAAGAUGUUCCCAAACAGAAAGGGGUAAGCUAGGUGCUUAUUUCAUUCAACUCUGAAUGACAUCCUAUCAUCUAUGCUCCAGCGGGU
ensembl:lncRNA